UACGGAGGGGGCUAGCGUUGUUCGGAAUUACUGGGCGUAAAGCGCACGUAGGCGGGUCGUUAAGUCGGGGGUGAAAUCCUGGAGCUCAACUCCAGAACUGCCUUCGAUACUGGCGACCUAGAGUCCGGAAGAGGUGAGUGGAACUCCUAGUGUAGAGGUGGAAUUCGUAGAUAUUCGGAAGAACACCAGUGGCGAAGGCGGCCAACUGGUCCGGUACUGACGCUGAGGUGCGAAAGCGUGGGGAGCAAACAGG
rnacentral:rRNA from 1 species